ACCAGAUGUCGGAGGUUAAAAUCCUCCCUACUGCU
rnacentral:tRNA from 1 species